rfam:Ictidomys tridecemlineatus contig052568, whole genome shotgun sequence.
GAGGUUGUGGCUCAGUGGUAGAGCGCUCACCUAGCAUGUGAGAGGUGCUGAGUUUGAUCCUCAGCACCACA